UAUCUGUGCAGGACAAGGAUGAAAAAGCUCAGAAGAGACUCCUACCUACCAUGUGUCCUACAGUCUCUGAGGGUGGUUUCUAGCUGAGUACCUUCAAUGCAGCUAGACUGCAAGCAAACACCUCUGUUUAGCUUUGAUCAUGGAUUACACUGGAGUGGAUAAGCUGCGUAACAAGAGUUCAUCAAGGAUCCUUUGGAUGCAGGGUCUCUGAAGCAUAAACAAGCAGGUUGUAUCGUGACGAGCUCUCAGAAUUAAUCUGUUUCCUAUUCAUUCAAUGAAAAAAAGAAUAAGCUUUUCUCAUUCUAGAA